AUUGAACGCUGGCGGCAGGCCUAACACAUGCAAGUAGAACGAGUGGCGGACGGGUGAGUAAUGUCUGGGAAACUGCCUGAUGGUGGGGGUUAACUACUGUAAACGGUAGCUAAUACCGCAUACCAUCAGAUGUGCCCAGAUGGGAUUAGCUUGGUGGUGGGGUAACGGCUCACCAAAACUACGAUCCCUAGCUGGUCUGAGUGGAUGACGAGACACACUGGAACUGAGACACGGGCCAGACUCCGACUGGAGGCCGAAGUGGGGGAUAUUGCACAAUUGGCGGAAGCCUGAUGAAGCCAUGCCGCGUGUAUGAAGAAGGCCUUCGGGUUGUAAAGUACGUUCAGCGGGGAGGCGUUACCCGCAGAAGGAGCACCGGCUAACUCCGUGCCAGCAGCCGCGGUAAUAC
rnacentral:rRNA from 1 species